AGCAAUGUUUUACGAAUCAGUUCGGUCUCGUCAGAUCUCAGAAGCUAAGCAGCGUUGAAGCAGGAUAGUACUUGAAUGGGAGACUGACUCGGAAAACCAGGUGGUUGUUG
rnacentral:rRNA from 1 species